rnacentral:rRNA from 1 species
ACUGAACGCUGGCGGCAAGCUUAACACAUGCAAGUCGAGCGGAGAUGAGGUGCUUGCACCUUAUCUUAGCGGCGGACGGGUGAGUAAUGCUUAGGAAUCUGCCUAUUAGUGGGGGACAACAUUCCGAAAGGAAUGCUAAUACCGCAUACGCCCUACGGGGGAAAGCAGGGGAUCUUCGGACCUUGCGCUAAUAGAUGAGCCUAAGUCGGAUUAGCUAGUUGGUGGGGUAAAGGCCUACCAAGGCGACGAUCUGUAGCGGGGCUGAGAGGAUGAUCCGCCACACUGGGACUGAGACACGGCCCAGACUCCUACGGGAGGCAGCAGUGGGGAAUAUUGGACAAUGGGCGGAAGCCUGAUCCGGCCAUGCCGCGUGUGUGAAGAAGGCCUUUUGGUUGUAAAGCACUUUAAGCGAGGAGGAGGCUACCUGGAUUAAUACUCUAGGAUAGUGGACGUUACUCGCAGAGUAAGCACCGGCUAACUCUGUGCCAGCCGCCGCCGUAAAAC